UACGUAGGGGGCGAGCGUUGUCCGGAAUUAUUGGGCGUAAAGGGCGCGCAGGCGGCUAUCCAAGUCAGGCGUGAAAUCCCGGGGCUCAACCCCGGAACUGCCUUUGAUACUGGGUAUCUGGAGGUCGAGAGAGGCGAGUGGAAUUCCGAGUGUAGAGGUGAAAUUCGUAGAUAUUCGGAGGAACACCAGUGGCGAAGGCGGCUCGCUGGCUCGAUACUGACGCUGAGGUGCGAAAGCGUGGGGAGCAAACAGG
rnacentral:rRNA from 1 species